rnacentral:rRNA from 1 species
UACGUAGGGGGCAAGCGUUAUCCGGAUUUACUGGGUGUAAAGGGAGCGUAGACGGCAUGGCAAGUCAGAUGUGAAAGCCCGGGGCUCAACCCCGGGACUGCAUUUGAAACUGUCAGGCUGGAGUGCAGGAGAGGUAAGCGGAAUUCCUAGUGUAGCGGUGAAAUGCGUAGAUAUUAGGAGGAACACCAGUGGCGAAGGCGGCUUACUGGACUGUAACUGACGUUGAGGCUCGAAAGCGUGGGGAGCGAACAGG